GACGUAGGAGGCGAGCGUCGUCCGGAUUCAUUGGGCGUAAAGAGCUCGUAGGCGGUUUGUCGCGUCUGCCGUGAAAGUCCGGGGCUCAACUCCGGAUCUGCGGUGGGUACGGGCAGACUAGAGUGAUGUAGGGGAGACUGGAAUUCCUGGUGUAGCGGUGAAAUGCGCAGAUAUCAGGAGGAACACCGAUGGCGAAGGCAGGUCUCUGGGCAUUAACUGACGCUGAGGAGCGAAAGCAUGGGGAGCGAACAGG
rnacentral:rRNA from 1 species